AGGAGCUUGCUCCUUUGACGUUAGCGGCGGACGGGUGAGUAACACGUGGAUAACCUACCUAUAAGACUGGGAUAACUUCGGGAAACCGGAGCUAAUACCGGAUAACAUAUUGAACCGCAUGGUUCAAUAGUGAAAGGCGGCUUUGCUGUCACUUAUAGAUGGAUCCGCGCCGUAUUAGCUAGUUGGUAAGGUAACGGCUUACCAAGGCAACGAUACGUAGCCGACCUGAGAGGGUGAUCGGCCACACUGGAACUGAGACACGGUCCAGACUCCUACGGGAGGCAGCAGUAGGGAAUCUUCCGCAAUGGGCGAAAGCCUGACGGAGCAACGCCGCGUGAGUGAUGAAGGUCUUCGGAUCGUAAAACUCUGUUAUCAGGGAAGAACAAAUGUGUAAGUAACUGUGCACAUCUUGACGGUACCUGAUCAGAAAGCCACGGCUAACUACGUGCCAGCAGCCGCGGUAAUACGUAGGUGGCAAGCGUUAUCCGGAAUUAUUGGGCGUAAAGCGCGCGUAGGCGGUUUUUUAAGUCUGAUGUGAAAGCCCACGGCUCAACCGUGGAGGGUCAUUGGAAACUGGAAAACUUGAGUGCAGAAGAGGAAAGUGGAAUUCCAUGUGUAGCGGUGAAAUGCGCAGAGAUAUGGAGGAACACCAGUGGCGAAGGCGACUUUCUGGUCUGUAACUGACGCUGAUGUGCGAAAGCGUGGGGAUCAAACAGGAUUAGAUACCCUGGUAGUCCACGCCGUAAACGAUGAGUGCUAAGUGUUAGGGGGUUUCCGCCCCUUAGUGCUGCAGCUAACGCAUUAAGCACUCCGCCUGGGGAGUACGACCGCAAGGUUGAAACUCAAAGGAAUUGACGGGGACCCGCACAAGCGGUG
rnacentral:rRNA from 1 species